UUUGAAGGAGUUUUAGCAACAUAUCAAACACAUAUAUCCUCAUUUUUCCCAUAGAGUUUUUGGAGGAGCUUUUCAAGAUGAUGAUGCUUACACUAACAAGCAUAGAUUAGGGGGAGUGUUAGGAUUUAACUAAUCCUAUUAAUCCAUGCUUAAGGAAUAGAUGGCAGUUUCCAUAUGAAAACCAACGUCGGUUCCUGGUGCCUUCUUGAACAGACAUCUUUUCACUUCGUGUCUUUUGUAACUCUAUAUAUAUAGAUGUACCAUCAUCAAUAAAGAUUAACUGAUUCACU
rnacentral:lncRNA from 1 species